rnacentral:lncRNA from 1 species
AAAUUGUGUAUUUGUACAGUGCUCUGUAAUUUGAGAAACUAAUUUUGAGAUCUAAAGAGAAAGAGAAGUGGAGGCGAUGCUGCUGACAACUGAAAAAUGGAUCUGUAGGGUUUCAUUAAGUUGGAUUUUUAAAAUCAAGGCCCAACCCACACUCUUUUUCUUUUCUUUUUUGAAUAAAAAUAGUAUUAUUUUAUUUGUUAU